rnacentral:rRNA from 1 species
GACGAACGCUGGCGGCGUGCUUAACACAUGCAAGUCGAGCGGAGCGGCGAAAGGGUGAGUAACGCGUGAGUAACUGCCCCCCUCUCUGGGAUAACAGUUGGAAACGGCUGCUAAUACCGGAUAGUGGGGGAUGACUCGCGUCCUAUCAGCUUGUUGGGGGGGUGAUGGCCUACCAAGGCGGUGACGGGUAGCCGGCCUGAGCGGGUGACCGGCCACAUUGGGCUGAGAUACGGCCCAGACGCCUACGGGAUGCAGCAGUUGGGGAUAUUGCACAAUGGGCGAACGACUGAUGCCGCGACGCCGCGUGGGUGAUGAAGGCUUUCGGGUUGUAAACCUCUUUCGCUAUCGAAACGGUAGGUGGCGAAGAAGCGCCGGCUAACUACGUGCCAGCAGCCGCGGUAAUUC